rnacentral:lncRNA from 1 species
CUACAUCGGCGGGUCCCACGUCUAGAGAACCUGGCGAGCCCUGACACCCGGCGGGUCCCAGCACUGGCUUCCUGGACGAUGACAACCCGGCCCCACGGCCUUGUAACAUUACCAUUGUAUCCCUGGGGGGUUGGUCUAUAAAACCCCCAGGAGCCCUCAUGCAUACGGACAAGCAACACACACACGCGAGCACAGAGAGACUGAUUAGUAGAACACACCCACACCCAAGGAGAGGGAGCAGCUUAAGCCUUGGCCCGCUUUCCUUCUUCUUCCAUACAGCUCUAGGAGCAACUCUGUACUGUUACAUAUAAACCACACUCGGCAGGACUAGGGGUGUUAUCUCUCCGGAGAGCCCCAAACCUGGGUAUGUCUUGCGUCCCGCGCUAGCUCAUGCCGACCUCGCCUCUGGAGCCCACCAGUGCCCUCAAGCCUCCUCCUCUCUUUAGCCAUCCCUUGGCAUCUGCCGUGCACCCACCACGACAGUUGUCCAUGUCCGCAUCGCACACUGACUCGUUGUUGCCUCCAGAAUUGGCCAUGACCUACAAACACAAGGCAUAUACGAUCAAGAUAAUAUGUAUAGAACUAAUUAAACUGGAUAUCAUGUAUAGAACUAAUGGAUUGUGACUACAUUAAUUGCCACACUAUUUUAUCACACCUAACUCGGAGCAUUACUUUCGAGUGGAAAUUUUCUUUGAACACUCAACUAUUUUUCCACACCUAACUUGGAGCAUUACUUACCAGUGGAAAUUUCUUUGGACACUCAACUAUUUUGCCACACCUAACUUGGAGCAUUACUUACGAGUGGAAAUUUUCUUUGGUGAGUACAGAGCAGAUUUUCCCCAAAGAUAUUUAUGGAUUACAAACAACAACUCAAACACUUUGUUUCAGAAUUUAGAUGCUUCCAAAGAUGAUGACUUAAAAAAUAUAUAUACCUUAAUUUGAUUGACAGAUUGCACUUCCAGUUUCUAUAGCUAGUGCUAACUGAGGAUGCAAAAAUAUAUCUACCUUAAUUCUAGACAACUACAGCACAUUGUCACCGCCUAGCAGUGAUGAACCCCAGCGAUGCAAAUAUUUUUUUUACAAUGGCAGUGACCUACAACAAAAGAGGGAGGGAUGAUAUGCUCACCUGGGUUGGAGCCAAGGGUUGCCUACAGUCUACUCCGUCGCUGUCGCCGAAACCCUAGCAGAUGAGAGAGGGAGGCUUAGAUGCGAAACACACGUCUAAUUAAAAAACCCAAAUGGACCAGAUGAGAGAGUGGGAGGCUCAGAUGUGUACCUCAGGACUGGAUAACGACGGCAAUCUCUGGGAUCGGCCGGAAUCGAAGCGGCGGCGACGAGCGGCGAGAGAGGGAGAGAAAGGGGAACGGAAAAGAGAGAGGGAGUGGCAGGGCAGAGAGAGGGAGUGGAUCAAGGGGGUCGUUGC